AACACUGGGUGCAGUGGAUGUGUCGUGAUCAAAAAUGCAGAAGUUGAGCGUGUUUUUAGCCAAGCUAAUUUAGUAAAAACCAAAUUGCGCAACCGACUGCAAAUAGAAACUUUAAAUGCGAUUUUAUCGAUCAGGUUUGGGCUACGCCGAAAAGGCGUAUGUUGCCAUGAAUAUGAAAUUCCUGAGAAGUAUUUAAAAAUGAUUGGAAGCAACCAAUCUACAAUAAAUCAAAGUUUAGAAGUUUGCAAUGAUGACAUUGACGAUGUUCUAAACGAGUUGGCAACCAAUAAAGAGUGAUAUUACAUAAAAUCCUUUUUCUGUAACGAGUUGACGGCAACACUGGACCACACCAUACCAUAACGUUGGCACUCAUCCCGCACCAUCAUAAAACCAAUCUUCACAUUGGAGCUAGAGCUAUUAGCAUAAAUUCGUUUACAAUAAUGUCCGAUUUGUGGACUCAGAACUGUGUCAACGGUUGUUUUCAAUUACAUUGAAUGCUCCAGAACCAGGCCCACUUUGAUUGAACCAGCCUUCCGAAAGAACGUCUUCUAAAUUCUGCGUUUCCAAUGAGCGGAGUGGAUUACUGCGGACCCUUUCAAAUGAUACUUUAGCGAUUUCAUCUGCUUUGCUAGCAAGGCGGUUCAUCUUGAGUUGGUGAAGGAUUUAACAACUGCCGCUUUCUAAGAGCGCUAAAAUGAUUUAAAAUGAUAUUCGUAGGAGGCUCAAUCAGAUUUGGUCCGAUAAUGCAACAAAUUGCCAUGCCAAGAAACUUCUGCGGCAAUGAUUAAUAGUCGCCUGUUUCUCUCAAUUUCAGAGAAUCCUGACGAUUUGGACUGCUGACUUCCGCUCAUCUACUGUUUGGUGGUCCUCCAACCGUGAUUCUCGAGCCCGACCUAACUAUGCUGGACUACAAUAUCGAUGCCCUUUUAUUAAUACCAGAACUAGACGUAAUGGUCCUGUAUUGGCCAGCAAGAAACUUACAAGGCUGCUCACCAUAAAGUAACCUAAUACCAAAUAUUCCGUAGCUGCAUGAACACGAGCCGCUGACCGCACAAUCAGUUAGUGAUUCAAUUUGAAAUCAUUGUGCAACUUCGCGAGCGACUUAUGCCUGGCUUCCAGUUGUGUCUCAUUCUUAGCAAUCAUUUUAAUUAGAUUUGUCACCAUUCUAAGCUACAUACAUAUGUCAAACUGUACUCACUCAAACUACCAAUGCACUCUGCUGAAGAGCCUUCAAAUCUCGUACUCGCAUGUAGACGUGCUUCUAGACCGAUUGACAGAAUAUCCUUAUUAAUUCGACUGCGCCGACCGACGGAGCUCCAAACUGCCCGAUAUAUGAUACGGCCUUUGAUGAUUCACCAACCGAGGCGCCUACUUAUACUGUCUAAAUGUAUCUGACAACUUGAAUUCAUAAACACGAAAUAUCCUGACUUUUAAUAUAUAAUAUUUAAUUUAUUUUAGUAAUUGUGUAGAGAAGGUGCUUGUUAAAAGUUUGGCUGAAUUUUGAAGACUGCCCUUCAGAAAAAAUAGAGAAGAACAAACUAACAGUGUUACUUGCUCUUACAUUCUCUAGAUGGAGAGGGAGAGAACGAUCAAGCGCCGUUAAAGCAAUCGCUGCAGCUGAUUAACCAAAGCCUCUCUUGUUUUCUCUUAGUCGCUAGAGCGAUGGUACCCAAACACCACAACAUGUUGGGCUUGCAGACUACCACCAAAGCUAUCGCAGUGCU